rnacentral:tRNA from 1 species
GCCUGGCUGGCUCAGUUGGUAGAGCACAUGAUUCUUGAUUUUGGGGUUGUGAGUUUGAGCCCCAUGUUGGGUA